rnacentral:rRNA from 1 species
CAAGCGGUGGAUUAUGUGGAUUAAUUCGAUGCAACGCGAAAAACCUUACCUACCCUUGACAUGUCCGGAAGCCCGGUGAGAGCUGGGGGUGCCCGAAAGGGAACCGGAACACAGGUGCUGCAUGGCUGUCGUCAGCUCGUGUCGUGAGAUGUUGGGUUAAGUCCCGCAACGAGCGCAACCCUUGUCCUGUGUUGCCAUCAUUCAGUUGGGAACUCGCAGGAGACCGCCAGCGAUAAGUUGGAGGAAGGUGGGGAUGACGUCAAGUCCUCAUGGCCUUUAUGUCCAGGGCUACACACGUGCUACAAUGGACGGUACAAAGCGCAGCGAACCCGCGAGGGGGAGCCAAUCGCAAAAAACCGUUCUCAGUUCGGAUUGCAGGCUGCAACUCGCCUGCAUGGAGCUGGAAUCGCUAGUAAUGGCAGAUCAGCACGCUGCCGUGAAUACGUUCCCGGGCCUUGUACACACC